rnacentral:lncRNA from 1 species
CAGAUGCUCCCUAAUUGUCUCUUGUAUUUGUAGCAGGAUGAGCAGCAAACAAAACUCCUCAGACACCGAGUUAAAGAAGGAAGGGGUUUAUUCAGCCGGGGGCAUCGGCAAGACUCCCGUCUCAAGAGCCGAGCUCCCCGAGUGAGCAAUUCCUGUGCCUUCAACUCUAAGUGGGUGCGUGUGAGAGGGUCGUGAUUGAUUGAGCAAGCUGGGGGUAAGUGACUGGGAGCUGCACGCACUGCUAAGUAGAUCGGAACAAAACAGGAUAGGGAUUUCACAAUGCUUUUCUAUACAAUGUUUGUAAUCUCUAGAUAACAUAACCGAUUAGGUCAGGGGUCGAUCUUUAACUACCAGGCCCAGGGUGUGGCGCUGGGCUGUCGGCUUGUGGAUUUCAUUUCUGCCUUUUAGUUUUUACUUUUUCUUUCUUUGGUCGCAGAAACUAGGUAUAAGACAAUAUGAGAGGUGGUCUCCUCCCUUAUAUUGACAGUAAAACCCCAAGGGCAGGAAUACUCUUAUUUCUCAACACCAUUUCAACAACCAAACUAAAACCUCUCACCUGAGUGUAAGGGAGUGGUGACCUUCUUAAGCCGGGAGCUCUUCCAUCAGGGGGUUCCCUAAGGGCAUCUCUGUUCCUAGCGGGGGAGCCGUCACCCCACUUUGCUCUGCUUAGCCUGAGACACGCAAUUUUCUCCAGCUUUUACUCUUCGCUGAAUUCUCAAGGCGGGGUUGGGGGGAUGUUCAGGCUCAGGAAGGAGGUUGGGGGCCCGGCCGCUGGACGCUGUUCACCGGUAGCCCGGACCAGAGCAGGAGUUUCAUCACCACCUGCGGGGACAGGUGGGACACAUGCAUUUCCGGGGCCAUCCUAGACCUCCUGGAGGAUGCUGAUUGACACUGUCCAGUUUGAGAACUACUGUGUCCCCGGAGCAGAGGCCUCCCCAUUGCCCUUGGGUAGCGGGCGUCGGGCACAGGGCUUCUCCGGAUGAGCGGGGCGGGCAUGAGAGCACAUGGAACUGGGGGCGGGAGGUCGGGGCAGCCAAGGAGGAGAAGGAGGAGGCGGAGGGGGAGGGAGGGGAGGAAGAAGAGGAGGAGGAGUCCUUUGUGGCCACCCGGAGGGGAGAGACUUGGUUGGGAGGCGCCAACCGAGCUGGCCGCUGGGACUCUGCACCCAGGUGCGCCAACCCUUGGGCGCACGCUCCCCGCAGACCCUCGCUGAAGGAGCGGUGGGCGGCGCGCCGCGACCCUGGCGGGCUACAGAUUACACCGCUUGCAGGGCGCUGCUGGGGCGCGCAGAGCGGGGCUGCCCCAGGGUGGCUCCCCCAGGUUGGGGCGCGGCGGGCGGCGGCCGCGGGCGCGCGUCCCAUCCGGGUCCCGAGUAACCGCCACCGCCGCUGCCAAAGCUCGCCAACAUGGUGGACCUGGAGGCCGUGGUGGCCGAUGUCAGUUACCUGAUGGCCAUGGAGAAGAGCAAGGCGACCCCGGCCGACCACGCCUGCAAGAGGACCGUCCUGCCCGAACCCACGUACCACCUGCCCCGGCCCGCGCCGGUCCCCGACGCCGCCGCCCCCUGCGGCCGCCAGCGACCCCCUGCGUCCGGGAGAAUCGGGAGCUGAGCCGUCGCUGUCCCGGAGCGGGUGACACAGCGGAGCGGGCGAUGCGGGGCCGGCCUCCUGGCUCCAGUCUCUGAAAUGGGGCAUCGGAGGGCGGGUGGGGGGCACUCCGGGAGAGAGCGCUCCAAAGUGCCUGGCGCCGCGCCCUGCGCGCAGCUAGCACCCCAGCAAGGGGCUGGUUAUGACUUGGCUGGACCAGUUCCAUCCCUGUCGCCCCCUCCCCCAGCCCUGUCCUCUCCUGUCCCAUCCCCGUGGUUCUACCUGUUGCAUUGGUGUGGUCCCUUUGGGCUCCUUGCCUGUCACUCGUUUGCGCUCCAUCCUGGUCGCUCCUUCUUCCCGGGCUCUGUGGUUCCCCUUUCCAACUCCAUCCUUUCAGCUCCCUCUGGGCCGAUUAUCUGGGGACUGCAGGCUUGUUGCUUACUGUCCGAGGUAGUUAAACUGCUCUUUUCAGUGCUUGCUCUUCUUGAAGUCCCUAAGUCUAGUCACCUUCUUCGUCUCCUCUUCUAUUGUCUGCCCAGGCAGGAUUUCGACCCACUCAGUAUUCUUUUUGGUGCCAAGUGUGUCACCUGAGCUGCUUUCCUCAACUUGCAGAUCUACUGGUAGUACUUUAUUAAAAAAUUGAAAUGGGAUUCAUUUAAAAAGGCACUUGAAUGGAUGAUUCCAGACAGGAAUUUGUUGUUAAAUUAUCAAAGGAGGGCCUGAUUGAAUUGGCGAGGGGCUCGGUGAGGUCCAUACCAAGUUGCAAUUUUCCCUCAAAUGAUUUAUUAUUAAGGAACUAGUAAAAUUUUUUGCCAGCUCAUGUCAUUAGCACUUCCCCGGAAAAAAAUAGUUCAUCAGGUUAAUAGUGAGUUUUAAAUAAUGUAUCAAGGCUUCAGCGAUGGAUUUUUUUUUCUCUAGCUCCUUUCCUAAUUAACACCAUCAUGAGUUGUACAGCUAAUGAGGUUCCUUAAUGCUAAAUAGCUCUUUGAAUUGAUGCUCAAAAGAGGCAUUUUCUUUAUGGUGAAUUUGAAACCAUGCAAUUCUAUAAAAUGUUGGAAUUUAAACCAAAGUUAUUGUCCAUUUGAAAUCAUCAGUCCUUCAAGUGUUAGGCGCCCAAAAUUGCUUAAAUGUUACCUAAUGCUAAGUGAUCAUAAUGUGAUUUUUUUACAAGUCCAUCUAUGAGCCCUAUGAUACAGAAAAUACCAGUCCCCUUGUUAUUUCUUGUGAAAAAGCUAAAUUGUGCAAAUGAAGACAUGCUUGCUAGAUAUUUUGGGCUUGCUUCUCCCUCCUUAGCCCAUGCCUCUUGUUGGUUUUGCAGGAUGUGCUACUCUUUGAUAGACAAUGCCAAGUAGUGAAAAUAAGGAAAAAGUGCAAACCCUUCUGCAAUGUCGUGAGUUUAACACCCCUAUGCCAGAGUGUAGCAUAUCAGAAGCUAAUUGAAAAAAUCAAUGCUGCUUAAAAUUUCUGGCAAAUGGGAAACUUACUUAGAGAACAAGAACUCCUAUAUCAAACCUAAAUUUCACCAAAAAAACUGAAUAUUUCUAUAAAGGUGGUAGAAAAUUCCUUUUUCUCUUGCCUUUCCUAGUGUCCCUCCGCCACCCAAGGUCAGGGAGUCCUGAAUAUGUAGGGUUUCUAGAUAUAAAAUUGAUAAAUCUCAACUCAUGGGCAGUUUUUUUGGGGGGGGGUAGUAUAUAAUAUUACUAAAGUUAGGAACUUCUGUUCAGUUUUUAUUUUUUUUCUUGGGGUUUCCUUUUUUAGUGUCCCUCUUAAGAACAUACUUAUGUGCUUAGGAUGUUCACUUCCUUGUAUGAAUGCCUUUGUUUUUCAGUGGUAUUCUUUGUUAAUGCUUUAAGGCAGAGUAAGUGACAGCCAGCAUAUUUCUCGUGACAUUUGAAAACUGAGAAAUACCAACCAGAGAGUAAUUUUAGGAAACAGCCCUUCAGUAAUUGUUAUUCUGUUGCUCUUUUUAAAAUAGACUCUCCAAUUGGGCCAUUGGAACCUCCUCCUGAGAUUCCAAUUUGUUUCCUUUUUUCUUUUCUUUUUUUUUUUUUUUUUUUUGAGAUGGAGUCUAGCUCUGUCGCCCAGGCUGGAGUGCAGUGGCACAAUCUUGGCUGACUGCAACCUCUGCCUCCCAGGUUCAUGUGAUUCUCCUGCCUCAGCCUCCUGAGUAGCUGGGACCACAGGCGCCUGCCACCACACUUGGCUAAUUUUUUUCGCAUUUUUAGUAGAGAUGGGCUUUCACCAUGGUGGUCAGGCUGGUCUCGAACUCCUGACCUCAUGAUCCGCCCACCUUGGCCUCCCAAAGUGAAGGGAUUACAGGCCUUAGCCACCGCACCCCGGCCUGUUUUCUACUUAUCUUAGUGGCUUUGGCUUUAGUUUUAUAAUGUAGCCAUUUACAUAGUAACAGUCACUCCUUGUGCUGUGUUAGGAUUCUGUUACAUUGAGAUUAUCAGGUAAAACAUCUUGCAAAAUUCUCUCUACCACGGGAUGGCAGUCAGUAGCCUACCUGUUUGAUUUGGAGGUUGGGGGUUGGGGAAUUUCUAGAUCCUGUAAGAAAGUUAAUUGCGUGUUAAAAGUCUCAGCCUAAUGACUUAAAUGGCUGGUAUGACUUCACGCUGUUGGUAAAAGGGAUUCGGGUCAAGUGUUUUUUGACAAGAGUUUCUAUAUCAGCUUCAUUAUAGAGGAAGCCAUGUGACCGCCAGUUUUUGGUAUUCUUGAAAGAGAUGUUCAGAUUUGUAUUUUUAGUAUCUGAAUGAGAAGCAUACAUUUUAAUUUGCCUUUGGUCUAUCACUAGUGAUUUUUUUAUUUCCAGCUAAUUAUUUGAAGUCACUAUUCUUGGUGCUUCCUUAUUUUAGUUACUUUGCCUUUUCCACAAUUUUAAAACAGAAGAGCAUCAGAACGAAAUAUCUAGCUAAUUUAAAUGAAACAAUGGGUCUGCAGUUUCCUGCCUAUUACAGGAGAGUCUCAGAAAAUGGAACAUUCUGUCUAGGGGAGAUUUUGCUUCCCUGAGAUGGCAAGAGGCACACAUUUUGUUAUGUUGACACAUUAUUCAAUUAACCAAUGAGUGCAAAUCCUGGAAAAGCUGACUAUUUGUCCAAAUGGUAUAGCUGCUUUAGUUUACUGAAAUGUUGUUGAGCUAAUGUAGCUGAUAAUGGGGCCUACUGGGAGUAGUAAACUGUGACCCACAGACUCCCUUGCAGGCCCAGUUAAAACAGGAGCAUUUAGAUGUGCAGGCCAGUUGUUUUACAUCAUGUUGGAAAAGAAAUACUUUUUUUUUUUUUUUGAGAUGGAGUCUUGCUCUGUCACCCCGGCUGGAGUGCAGUGGCGUGACCUGGGCUCACUGCAAGCUCUGCCUCCCAGGUUGAUGCCAUUCUCCUGCCUCAGCCUCUCGAGUAGCUGGGACUACAGGCACCGCCACCAUGCCUGGCUAAUUUUUUUUUGUAUUUUGUUUUUUUUUUUAGUAGAGACGGGGUUUCACUGUGUUAGCCAGGAUGGUCUCCAUCUCCUGACCUCAUGAUCCACCCACCUCGGCCUCCCAAAGUGCUGGGAUUACAGGCAUGAGCCACCGCGCCUGGCCAAGAAAUACUUUUAUUUAAGUAAGGUCUAAUUCACAAGCAAAGUCCCACAAAGGGUCAACAUCUUAAGCCCUCAAGUGAUUCAGACGACUUUUACUGUAGGCGGUAUUACUUUGUUACUCUUUUUAAAAACAGAAUGAAAUUCAGAUGACUUGAAAUCACACAUAGUUGAAAGAGGUUGAGUAAUGUGAACUUCAUCUUUCCCCUGGAGUCUCAUUUCUAUUUACUGGACAUUUCAAAUGUUGGAUCACCUAUUGCAAAGCUUGUCCUUUCAAAGUAUUCAUAAAUAUGAUAGGAAGGUCUGAAACAACAUUUUAAAGAUUCUUUAUAAUUUUCUAGGAACACUGACAGUCCUUAAAGGACAUUUAUGAUACCAUUUAUGACAUUAAUUCAGUACAUAGUUGCAGAGCCAUUUCUAUGAGCCAGGCAUGGGGUACUAUGACAAACCCAGCCACGGCCCCUUCCUUCAUGGAGCUUAUAGACUAGUGUGAAACAUACAGAGUUGAGUCAAGAAGGAUGUUUGCUUUAAAGUGUAAUUGCUUGAAGAUUUUAUUUAACCACAAACAAAUAGUGUAUGGAUAACUUUUAUUAUUCUAUACGCAUAGAAUAUAGAAUAAUAACAAAGAAUGAAUAUAGAAUAUAGGAUAAUGCAUAGAACACAUGAUGUUUAGUGUUUUACAAUAAUUUGUUAGUGAGUACCUUUGAAGAACUAUCUAAACAUAGUCUCCAUAGUGAUAUGGUAGUUUGCAUCUUUCUGUUUGUGUAGCCACCACAAGUGGCCUUGUUUUCUUCUUUAGUGGACAUGGAAUUUAUUUAGUAAUUUUCUAGCUUCAAUCAGUAAGUGAUUGGUGGAUAACUUGAAAUUUUCUGCUCCAUUUAGGCUGUAGAGUUUUCUGUGUCUUCACUGUCCUGUGCUCAUAGCCCAAUUUUGAACUGAAAAGUCCAUGUUGAAAGCACAAAUAGCCUUUAGAAAGAAAGUAUUCCUUAUUAUUGAUAGGAGUAGUUCUAUGUGUAAGAAACGGUAGUGUUCUUGCUUCUUUACAUUAUGGUACAAAUUCAAAACGUAAAUUGUAAUUUGUGAUUUAUUUUGUGUUUAUUACAGUAGAUGGUCAUUUAAUUCAUGUUUAUUACAGUAGAUGGUCAUUUAUUUAGAGUUUAAGAAAACUCCACUAAGAUUUGUAGAUUGCAUGUUAUAGUUUUAUAUACAUUAACUCUUUUUAGUUUUUACAAUUAUGCUUGAUAAUAGGUAGAAAUUUCAAAAAGAAAAAAAUUACUCCAGAUACAUCCAUGUGGAGACAUUGAGAGGUAUAUUUUAUCUGUUUGAGGACAGCUGGUUUUCUCCUUAGAUACUAGUAUCUUGACUGUGGGGCAAGGAGUGGCUUUCAGCCUUCCAGACUCAGAAACUAGAUUUUAUUAUAUCACUGUAUUAAGCAUCUGUCUCUUAUUGUGAAACUCACAUAAUCAGCCAAGUCUGCCUGACUAAAUUAUUCUCUUUCUAUAGGCCUCUGGUUCUUAUU